GCAGGUGGCAAGCGUUGUCCGGAAUUAUUGGGCGUAAAGCGCGCGCAGGCGGUUCUUUAAGUCUGAUGUGAAAGCCCACGGCUCAACCGUGGAGGGUCAUUGGAAACUGGAGAACUUGAGUACAGAAGAGGAAAGCGGAAUUCCACGUGUAGCGGUGAAAUGCGUAGAGAUGUGGAGGAACACCAGUGGCGAAGGCGGCUUUCUGGUCUGUAACUGACGCUGAGGCGCGAAAGCGUGGGGGAGCAAACAGGAUUAGAUACCCUGGUAGUCCACGCCGUAAACGAUGAGUGCUAAGUGUUAGGGGGUUUCCGCCCCUUAGUGCUGCAGCUAACGCAUUAAGCACUCCGCCCUGGGAGUACGGCCGCAAGGCUG
rnacentral:rRNA from 1 species